UGUCCUGUGCCUCUUUGCCAAAGCCUGGAC
rnacentral:piRNA from 1 species